rnacentral:sRNA from 1 species
AUUAAAGUCUUUGGCACUCAUUGAUUGCGAAAGGAGGCAGGGGCGGGGGUAACAAAUUAAGGAUUAGUGUAAGAGUCGGAAGUCUUUGUUACUAGGUUGCUGUUAUUAUUUCUUUUUUUUGUUGUUAAAAAUAAAGGGUUGGAUUCUACAAAUAAGUAGCUGGGUUUCCUUUUUUGUGUGAAGGUAUUUAAGGUUGGGGACAUUUCGCUCUUAGAAAUAAAGCAAUUGAAUGGUCAAUGUAAGUUAAGGGAGAUCGAACCUUCUUUAUUUCUAGCUUUCUCAACAUUUCGCUCUUAGAAAUAAAGCAAUUGAAAGGUCAAUUAGGUAAAGGGAGAUCAAACCUUCUUUGUUUCUAGUUUUCUCAACAUUUCGCUCUUAGAAAUAAAGAUAUUGAAAGGUCAAUAUAGGUUAAGAGAGAUCAAACCUUCUUUGUUUCUUGCUUUCUCAACAUUUCGCUCUAAGAAAUAAAGCAAUGGAGAGGUCAAUAUAGGUUAAGGGAGAUCAAACCUUCUUUGUUUCUUGUUUCUCAAAAUUUCGCCAUAAGAAAAAAAGAAAUUGUAAGGUCAAUAUAGGUUAAGGGAGAUCACACCUUCUUUGUUUCUAGCUUUCUCAACAUUUUGUUCUUAGAAAUAAAGUAAUUGAAAGGUCAAUAUAGGUAAAGGGAGAUCGAACCUUCUUUGUUUCUAGCUUUCUCAACAUUUCGCUCUUAGAAAUAAAG